AACGCGAAGAACCUUACCUGGGUUCGAAAUGCAGGUGUAAGCCUCAGAGAUGAGGUCCCCUCUUCGGAGGCACCUGUAUAGGUGCUGCAUGGCUGUCGUCAGCUCGUGUCGUGAGAUGUUGGGUUAAGUCCCGCAACGAGCGCAACCCUUGUUUGCUGUUGCCAUCAGGUAAUGCUGGGCACUCUGCAAAGACUGCCGGUGAUAAACCGGAGGAAGGUGGGGAUGACGUCAAGUCAGCAUGGCCUUUAUGUUUGGGGCUACACACGUGCUACAAUGGCCGAUACAAACCGUCGCGAGCCCGCAAGGGGGAGCUAAUCGGAGAAAGUCGGUCUCAGUUCGGAUUGUAGGCUGCAACUCGCCUGCAUGAAGUUGGAAUCGCUAGUAAUCGCGGAUCAGCACGCCGCGGUGAAUACGUUCCCGGGCCUUGUACACACCGCUACAGU
rnacentral:rRNA from 1 species